AGAGUUUGAUCCUGGCUCAGGACGAACGCUGGCGGCGUGCCUAAUACAUGCAAGUCGAGCGGAUUGAUGGGAGCUUGCUCCCUGAAAUCAGCGGCGGACGGGUGAGUAACACGUGGGUAACCUGCCUGUAAGACUGGGAUAACUCCGGGAAACCGGGGCUAAUACCGGAUAUUUCUUUUCCUCGCAUGAGGAGAAGUGGAAAGGUGGCUUUAGCUACCGCUUACAGAUGGACCCGCGGCGCAUUAGCUAGUUGGUGAGGUAACGGCUCACCAAGGCAACGAUGCGUAGCCGACCUGAGAGGGUGAUCGGCCACACUGGGACUGAGACACGGCCCAGACUCCUACGGGGGGCAGCAGUAGGGAAUCUUCCGCAAUGGGACGAAAGUCUGACGGAGCAACCCCGGGGUGAGUUGAUGAAAGGUUUUCGGAUCGUAAAAGCUCUUGUUUGUUAGGGAAGAACAAGUGCCGGUUCGAAAUAGGUCGGGCACCUGGCCGGUUACCUAACCCAGAAACCAGGGCUAAACUACGGGCCAGCACCCCCGGGUAAUACGUAGGGGGGAAAGGCUUGCUCCGAAAUUUUGGGGCGUAAAGGCCGGCCAGGGGGGUCUCUUUAAUUCUGUAGGGAAGACCCCAGGGUUCAACCCUGGGAGGGGUCUUUGGAAACGGGGGGAUUUGGUACCAAAAAAGGAAAGGGGAAUU
rnacentral:rRNA from 1 species